GACGUAGGGCGCGAGCGUUGUCCGGAUUUAUUGGGCGUAAAGAGCUCGUAGGCGGUGUGUCGCGUCGGCCGUGAAAACCUGCAGCUUAACUGUGGGCUUGCGGUCGAUACGGGCAUCACUGGAGUUCGGCAGGGGAGACUGGAAUUCCUGGUGUAGCGGUGAAAUGCGUAGAGAUCAGGAGGAACACCCGUGGCGAAGGCGGCCCUCUGGCUCGACCCUGACGCUGAGGCGCGAAAGCGUGGGGAGCGAACGGG
rnacentral:rRNA from 1 species